rnacentral:rRNA from 1 species
GACGAACGCUGGCGGCGUGCUUAACACAUGCAAGUCGAACGAUGAAGCUGGAGCUUGCUCUGGCGGAUUAGUGGCGAACGGGUGAGUAACACGUGAGAAAUCUGCCCUUGACUCUGGGAUAACUGCGGGAAACUGUAGCUAAUACCGGAUACUUUCCCUGGUGGGCAUCCACUGGGGAAGAAAGAAUUUCGGUCAAGGAUGAUCUCGCGGCCUAUCAGCUUGUUGGUGAGUUAAUGGCUCACCAAGGCGACGACGGGUAGCCGGCCUGAGAGGGUGAGCGGCCACACUGGGACUGAGACACGGCCCAGACUCCGACGGGAGGCCGCAGUGGGGAAUAUUGCACAAUGGGCGCAAGCCUGAUGCAGCAACGCCGCGUGAGGGAUGAAGGCCUUCGGGUUGUAAACCUCUUUUAGCAGGGAAGAAGCGAAAGUGACGGUACCUGCAGAAAAAGCACCGGCUAACUACGUGCCAGCCGCCGCGGUAA